rnacentral:rRNA from 1 species
CCGUCGAGGGCCAGCUUGGGCUCCUGGUCCUAGAGUAGGAGGAGCUUGACCCGGUGGAGGCAGCCGCGGGUACGGACCUUCGCCUACCUCCUCGCCAGCUGCCGCUCGAGCCGCCGCAACUCCUGCUCCUUCGCCCACCCGCUCCUGUGCCGCUGCCGCCGCCUGCGCCUCGGCCUCUUCCACGUCCGCCGCUCCAGCCCCGCCUCCUGCUCCAGCAUCGCCUCCCCGAGCCGCUUCGCCCCCUCCGCCCUGACCGGGGACUUGACGAGGCCGCUGAGGCGGUAACGGCCGUCUAGACUUCGCCUCCCCAGCUUCCGGUGUCGUCUA